rnacentral:rRNA from 1 species
GACGAACGCUGGCGGCGUGCUUAACACAUGCAAGUCGAACGGAAAGGCCCUGCUUUUGUGGGGUGCUCGUGUGGCGAACGGGUGAGUAACACGUGAGUAACCUGCCCUUGACUUUGGGAUAACUUCAGGAAACUGGGGCUAAUACCGGAUAGGAGCUCCUGCUGCAUGGUGGGGGUUGGAAAGUUUCGGCGGUUGGGGAUGGACUGGCGGCUUAUCAGCUUGUUGGUGGGGUAGUGGCUUACCAAGGCUUUGACGGGUAGCCGGCCUGAGAGGGUGACCGGCCACAUUGGGACUGCGAUACGGCGCAGACUCCUACGGGAGGCAGCAGUGGAGAAUAUUGCACAAUGGGCGGAAGCCUGAUGUAGCAACGCCGCGUGCGGGAUGACGGCCUUCGGGUUGUAAACCGCUUUCGCCUGUGACGAAGCGUGAGUGACGGUAAUGGGUAAAGAAGCCCCGGCUAACUACGUG